AAUAACUAAGAACUUCAAUGUAUGUUUCUCCACGGCGGAGCCCAAGAAUACUCAUCAGCUGAAGAAGACUUGGGGGUACUUAAAGAAUAAAGUGAAGAAGGAUCACAGCAGGUACAUCCGGGAAACCCAUCAGACUGGUGGUGGGCCACCACCAGCCCCACCAAAACCAGCUGAUGAGGUAACGCUGAUUGUACAGCUGAUCCUUAAUAAUAGGCUGCCAGUACCUGACGACAUCUUUGAUAGUGAAUUUGUAGAAGCACGCGUACUGGCCCGACUCAAUUCCACAGCACUGGAAUGUGCUGACACACCUGAAGCUGCAGGACAACAGCCAGCACAAGAUCUGGUCUUGGACAACCC